CGGGUCCAGGUCACGAAUUCGACCCCUUUCAAGUUGGAUGAGAAGAAGGCUAAAGAUUUCAGCUUCCUCUUCAGCGGUUUCACAAACGGGGACAAAAUAGGAAAAUAUCCCUACUGCACAGACGAUGAUAAAGAAACCAGAGACGACCGUGUGGUAUCACCGUCAAACGGUUCAAAAUGGCCCCUGGCAAAUUAAAAAGAGGUGAGGUGUCCAGUUCCCGCCGGUGGCCGCUAGGUGGCGCGCGAACACAGGAACAUCCGCUGCAGCGUCACACACUCACCGCAGAAACAGAACUCAACAACGGGGCAGCGGGGGUCAAGGAACCGAGCAAACAAACAGCAUCACCUACAUGUUCACAGCCUCCUAAACCUGCAGCUCUCCUUUUAUGAGCAAACCAUUCACAGCAGCUGUUACACUGGCAUGUUUGCAUUUUGUUUGUUUAUAGUUUCAGAUCUUAUUGUCGCUCUUAUUAUCUUACACAGCAUCCAUGUAUAUGUGCUGUUGAAGUCAUCUAAAGCUUGACUGAGAUUCUUUGACUAAGCUGUGUGUUGUUUUUUCUUGUUGUUUUUAUAGUGAACUGUGCAUCAUGGUGCUUCAUCAUGAUGAAUCAAACUGUGCACUACUUUAUUAUGUCAUUAUAUAUUAUCACUGUCUUUAUACAUAUAAAGACAGUAUAAAGAAACUAAUAUGGCUCCAUGAUUAUGUCACAUGAUAUGAACAUAGAACCCUGUGGAUUAGGAGGUUGUGUGUGAUUUGCAUUUAGUUCUGUCCUUAGAACAACCGUCUCUUAUAUCAGUCACUGUUUAACUGCAGCCUUUAACUCUGGUCACCGUCACCUCGUCAUGUCCAUACUCUGUACAUGUACACAGUGUAAUUUCCCCAUUGCAGGACAAUAAAGGUUUUCUAUUCUAUUCUAAA